CGCCGAUGGUCAACAUGGCGCCUUUCAGAGAGUGUGGUUUGACAGUACUCGCUCAGACGCAAGAGGGAGCGACAAGAGCGUUCUCUGGAGAAGUACAUCUCAGACUUGAAUGUGCAUUGGAAUCUCUUUGGGGAUCUUGUUAAAUUGCAGAUUCUGAUUCAGUACUUGUGUGGUGGGCCUGAGAUCCUGUGUUUCUAACAACCUCCCAGGCUGAAGUUGUGGACUGCAGAAAUCUCUAGUGUCACUCUGCAAAGUGAGGCAUCAGCUGCUGAGGCAAGCAAAAAUGGUUUGUGUCAUAGAAUUCUCUUUUCCAGGCUUUAGAUCCCCCCUGGAUAUCAAGUGAGUCCUAAUUUGUGUUCCCUACUAGUUGCUAUGGUCUAGAUGUAUUCCCCAAAUUUCAUGUGUUGGAAACUUAAUCUCCAAUGCAACAUUGUUGAGAGGUGGGACCUUUAA